GGAGUUUGGUCCGUGUCUCAGUACCAAUGUGGGGGACCUUCCUCUCAGAACCCCUACUGAUCGUCGGCUAGGUGGGCCGUUACCCCGCCUACUACCUAAUCAGACGCAUCCCCAUCCCAUAGCGAUAAAUCUUUGGUAUUGCUCAGAUGUCCUCAUAAUACAACAUAGGGCAUUAAUCCGCAUUUCGCCGGGCUAUCCUCUACUAAGGGGAAGGUUGGAUACGCGUUACUCACCCGUGCGCCGGUCGCCAGCAACAAUAGCAAGCUAUCGUCCUGCUGCCCCUCGACUUGCAUGUGUUAAGCCUGUAGCUAGCGUUCAUC
rnacentral:rRNA from 1 species